GGGGCCGAUCCGGAUUCGACGUGGGUCGCGAAACAGCGCAGGGCAUGUCGAGCACCAGUACGCUCGUAAAACCACUGGAAUCGCAAUUAAACGCCAACGAUGAGCGUUUUGCUAUUGCCGCUUAAUAACCGGUAAUGCUCGCUGCACUGGUUUGCCUUUGGGCCAGGCGGGGUUAAACCCGCAGCAGCGUCAUAUACAAAGGAUCGGAACUUCGGCGGGCCACUCGUCGGAGUCUUAAAACUUAGUGGAUCGCUGUAAGUCGGCCUGUUGGCUGGCNNNNNNNNNNCGGUUAAAUUCAAAUAAGCCGACUAAACAUGUAGAACUGCCUGCGGAGGGCUUGCGGACGGGGGUUCAAUUCCCCCCGGCUCCACCA
rnacentral:tmRNA from 1 species